ensembl:lncRNA
GAUGAUUUCUGGUUAAAGUGGCCAUGGCCAGACAGAUGGUUGCAAAAUCAUUCAGAAAUUUUAGUAACAUUUGUGGCUUCAUACUUCCCUUUUCUCACAUUCUGAGACAGUCAACAACAUUUAGUCAAAAUUACCUUAUUUGAGCAAUCUGACGAUAGGUUUAAAACGAUCCACGUAAAGCCACAAUUUAGAUCCAGCACUAAAAUAAAUCCCUUCUCAUUCAGUCUGAUGUAGCUUUGCAUCCCUUCCGUGUUUAAGAUUGCACACACACACACACACAAACACACACACUAAAUUAAAUCACUUGUUAGUAAAUAAUCUUCCAUAUUCUCAAAAAUGAUCACAAAAAAACAGAAUGACACAUUUUACGGGGGGGUCGUUUUCUUCCUUCCUGUUUGUAGGAAGUGUUGAGUAUAAAACAGCCUGUGUUUGACUGUGUGUCAUUAAUAGAUCAGUAUGGAGCUCAGUCUACUUCCUCUAAUGCUCUUGCUGAUUUCAAACAUCCACCCUGCACACACUCAAGGUGAUUUAAAUAUUCCUUCAAAUAUUAACAAAUAUAAUGCAUAUACAUUAUGCAUAUACAUUGUGAUACUAAAUAAAAUGCAUAUACAUUAUGAUCUUAAGUAUAAUAACAUGUUAAGAGGGGCUUUUAUUUACACAGAAAAAAAGGUGGUCGUAAAGAAAGGGAGUUUAUUGUUCUCAUCAUGCAGGGCAAGAGGCUUCAAAGGAACAGAUCAGUGUUUUCAAUGUAUUGCACCAUUCUUGGACAAAGACAAGAAAUAAGCACUGAUACAUGUGUAGAUGUGUAGAUUACUGUGGCUUAUUUAGAUGUUUUACCAUAACUUCUGUUCUUAUAGAGGCACCUAAACCUCGUGUGACUGUUCAGACUGAAACAUCACAGAUAUUCAGAGGAGAGACUGUCACUCUCACAUGUGACGUACAGGGGGAAGGUUGGAGAUACACAUGGCAGUGUGGAGAUGAACAGCACAACUCUGAGGAGGAAGAGUUCAAGAUCACUGUACAGUUCAAACAGUCAUGCAAGUGUAAAGGCUGCAGAGAAUCAUUCUGCUCUGAAUGGAGUGAUGCUGAGACUCUGAAUGUUUCAGGUGAGUGAUCAUCACUGAUACACAUCACGAUCUUGCUCAAAUGCAUAAACAAUUAAUUGACUCCAACUGAGAAAAAC